GCUAGAUUGAGGAGCUGUUUGUCUCUGGGACUCUCCCUUCCUUUGACUUCACCAUGGCUUGGCUCCUUCUUUUCUCCACCCUUCUCAGCUACUGCUCAGGUCUGGUUCUGUUUGGUUAAUGUGAUCAGAUUGGCUCGUGCAGGGAUAAUGGGUCAAGCCACAAACCCAUUUAUCUUGUGUAAUUUGUCAUAGAAACAUUUUUUUUCCUGAACUUUAUAAACACAGAAAAUGAUGCAUUUCUUUUUCUUUUUCCAAAGGUGUCAGUUCACAGACUGUUACUCAGACAGCCUCAGAGUCUGUGUCCCUGGGCCAAACUAUGAAACUCUCCUGCUCUAGAAGUAGUGGUGGUAACUGGGGUAUCUUUAGUUGGCAUCAGCAGAAACCUGGCCAGGCUCCUCGCUUGGUGUUCUAUAGUACCAGCAUCAAGGGAGAAGGGAUCCCAGAUCGGUUCACUCCCUCUAUCUCUGGGAACACUGGCUAUUUAACCAUCUCCAACACCCAGGCAGAAGAUGAGGCCGUUUAUUACUGUGGUGCCUGGGAGUUCACUGGUAGUAGCAAGUUCCACAGUGAUACAAUCUGAUGGGGAACUGAGACAAAAACCUUCCCUCUUUCUCCCCAGAGUGAAGAAUGGAGCAGCGACUGUAGAAGAGCUCAAAGUCAUCUGUGCCCUGAGAUCAGUUGAGAUGCAGAGCAAGGGGACUCCCCUUGGUCCUCUGCUCCUGGUCACUUCUCUACGGCUGCCAAGUUUUUGACGGCAGUUAAAGAAUAUAUCCAGCCCUAAAUCUUCCUUUGUAGGGAAUUAAAGUUAAGAUAUAAUACUGAGGAAGUAUCUUGUAGCUCUUUUUUUCCUGUUCCUUCUUUCUUUACCCCCCUCUUUAUUUAUUUCUUGUGGGUUUUUUUAUUGAAUUGUGAAUUUUCUCCCCACAAAAUAGAAAAAAAUCUUGUGCAGUCAUACCUCGGGUUAAAUACGCUUCGAGUUGAGUGUGUUCGAGUUGUGCUCCUUGGCAACCCAGAAGAAAUGGAACGCAUUACUUCUGGGUUUCACCGCUUGCACAUGCGCAGACACUCAAAAUGACGUCACUCGCAUGCGCAGAAGCGGCAAAAAAUGACGCGUGAGUGCGCAGACGUGCCGUUGCUAGUUACGUUUACCUCUAGAUGCGAACGGGGCUCUGGAACGGAUCCCGUUCAUAUCUAGAGGUAUCACUGUACAUUGGUACCUCGGGUUAUAGACGCUUCAGGUUACAUACGCUUCAGGUUACAGAUUCUGCUAACCCAGAAAUAGUGCUUCAGGUUAAGAACUUUGCUUCAGGUUGAGAACAGAAAUCGUGCUCUGGCUGUGCAGCGGCAGCAGGAGGCCCCAUUAGCUAAAGUGGUGCUUCAGGUUAAGAACAGUUUCAGGUUAAGAAUGGACCUCCGGAACGAAUUAAGUCCUUAACCCGAGGUACCACUGUAUGUAUGUAUGUAUGUAAGUAUGUAUGUAUGUAUGUAUGUAUGUAUGUAAGUAUGUAUGUAUGUAUGUAUGCAUAUAUGCAUAUAGCAGCUCUCACCCAAGGAUCUCAGGGUGGAUCACAAGAUAACAGGGGCGCUGACUUAUGCCCCAGGUUAUGGGCGCCCAAUGAAGUGAAGAAUGAACUCUCAGUGAUGAGCCUUUCUGCAUGUAAUUUCUCUCCUUGAACUUAAAACAAAGCAAGUAUCCACAAACAAUUUAGUGUAUUAUAUAAACUACCAUAUGCAAAAUAUAAUACAUUUAUAUUGCAUCACUUCGCUUUAUUUUAUUUUGGGAAUCGCCAGGUUUCCAAAAGUAACCAGUGCACACACAGAUUCAUGCAAUAAUGGAUAUGAGUGUCUAGAAACACGUAUGUGUUUCUUACCGCUGAGAUAUUAUGAGUCUUCCAAAGUGUACCGGGCAGGAGAUGGGAAACUUCUGAAGUGCGGUUGUCAUGAAGGUGCAGACAUGGCAAUAGAACUGACGCAGAUAUUGUUUCCCCCCAACAAUGAAUAAAUGAUAAAUUCUGUUGCAAGAUAUUCAAAUGUAUAUUAAGGUUACAUUGUUGCUUUUAGUAUUGCACUGAAAUUGGUCAGAAUUUGAUUUUUUUGACAACCCACACAGCCUUGCUAUUGGGAAAGUAUAUGUUUUCAGUUCCUACAUGAAUAUAAAUCUCCCAUGGACACAGAUGUGAAAUGAAAGGAAAUGAACAAUAAUUGCAAAGACCAUUUGCAGGGGUGUUGUACAUGAGUGCACAUUUAUGAUGCUCAGACGUCUUUGCAUUUGUAGUGCAGCUAUAGGGAAUCAGAUGUGAAAGUGCUGGUUGCCACAGCUGAAUCUGGGCACAAAUUGUCCCCCAGGAGAAAAGCCAGAAAUAAAUCUGAGCAGAUUGUCAUGUCAGUAUCCAGGUUUUAAAAUGUGGUUGUAUUCUGUUACAGAAAGUGAUGUUGGCUACUCUGGGUGCAAUGUGGGUUCAGCCCUGUCACUUUGGAAAUAUGAAUUAAAUUACUGACCCCAGCCAGAGGUCUGUUGUAUCACCUGAACCACUGGCAUGAAUGGAGAAAAAGUUGGCUAUAUCUUGGUGCUCUGGUUGGGCUAAUAUGCACCUUACGUUACUGCCAUGACCGUCUGCAGUGGAGACAAGGAUCAUUUGCAACCUGGUCCCUGAAUAGUGCUUCAAACCUGUCAUUACUAUCAAAUGGGAUCCCAUCACCUAGUGGCAGAUUCAGAUUGUGCUCCUAGGUGCGACGUCAUCUGCCAUCCCUGCAAACAGGUUUGAAUGGAGGCUGAAUAAACAGUUGACUUGCUUCCAUUUUUGUGCAGACAAAUCAGGAUAUAUGUGCAAUAAACAGCAAUCCUAGUCCAGUAUUCAGAUGCAAUCUGAAUAUUUGCCUUGCUAAUUGUUUUCAUUUCUGAACGUUCAGUGACAGUUGGAGGUGAAAUCUUCUUGCCUGUGUGUGAUCCCAGCUCUCACCUUUAAGGGGAGAUGUUGAUGCAUCUUCUCCACAUUUGGCAGGAUAGGAUGACAACAGAGACCACAGACCGCUGCACCUGGGGCAGGGCAGGAAAAUGUUGGCUAUGCAUAGGUGCUUUUUCAGUGCAACUCACUCGUGUCUAGAGCUGAAGGGCCCGAAAAUAACUUUCUCUACCCAAGAAUAUUAGCUGACACUCUGAGCAUGUUUAGGCAAGUUGUGUGUUGCAGGUUCUACUCAGAGAAGACCUCUUGAAAUGAAAAGGCUGAAGCUGAAUGCAGCCCAAGACCAUGUUUGCUGUCAAGCUGAUGCCUGGAUGGACUGCCUUUGGCACAGAAAGUUUGUCUAGGGCAGGGAUAACCCACAUAUUUCCCUUUGGAUGCUAUGGGGCUGCAUCUCCCGCCAUCCCUGACAAUGAGCUGAUGGGAGCUGAGGUCCCUAAACAGCUGGAUGUUUCCUUUUCUGUGUGUCUGCACUGCUGGAUCAAGGAGGAGGAGGAGGAUGGCAUGGUAGCCGCUGGCGAGGCUCCACUCUGCGUGAUGUGCCACCUCAGAGGUGCAUGCAGAAGGCAGGGGUGCCCUGGGCAGGAAGAAAGGGGGAGCCGAGCGCAAGGAGUCUUGAUUUUUUUUUUUUUAAUAUAAAUGCUUUUGCAUCUGCAUCUAAUCUUGCCCCUUUCUAAAAUUCAUUUAUUGAUGUGUGUUUUUAUUUUUGCAAAUCUACCAAAUCAUAAAAUAUAAUAAAAUCAAUAUUACAUGUCUUUUUCAGGACUGUGGAGAGCAUGUGCGUUGUGUCCUAUUGGUGCAGUGAUGGUGCCACACGCACUUCUUCUGACAGAAGAUUCUAUGAGGGGGACAACAAAAAAUGGGGUGUCAAGAAGGCUCCCGAGGGGGAAAAUGAGAAAUGUCACUAUUUUCCUCUGAGGAAUGUUGGAGGAUAUGUGUGCUUUGUUUUCUGAAAGCCAGACUUCUCUCAUCCAUAGCUAGGAGAGAGUCCUGCAGAGCAACAGAUGUGAGACUCUGAUCAUUGUACACUAGGCCACUUUCUAUCCAUGCAAAAGUCAGAGAAUUCUGCUUCGCAUGCUCACGUAUUUCUAGAUCCUUCACGAAACAGGCCAGAAACAUGAUCACCAGUCAAAGAUGCAGACUUUUGUGUCAAGGAAAGUGAGAGGGAAAUGGAAAGUGUAGAGUGACAUUUCCCAGGUGCAACGUCAUUUUCCCUCCCUGCAAACAGGUGUGAAUGGAGGCCGAAUAAACAGUUGACUUGGUUCAAUUUUUUUGCAGACAAAUCAGGGUGAAUGUGCAAUAAGCAGCAAUCCUAGUCCAGUAUUCUGAUGCUCAUGGCAGAGUCUCUUGGACUUUCCCACAAUCUGCGACUUGAUAUUUUUCUUUUUAACUGGCAUACCAAGGAUUGGACCUUCCUUAUGCAAAUCACCCCCUUUGCUGCUAAGGGGGCCUCUGCCCAAGCCACUGGAUGUGGACCUAUUUGCAUGAGAGGUCAUUUCUCAUUUCCAGGCGAUUUAAGAGAGGAGGAGGAGGAGGAGGAGGAGGAAGGUGCAGCUAGAUUGAGGAGCUGUUUGACUCUGGGACUCUCCCCUUUAUAGAUUUCAACUCUGCUUUUGAUCUAAUACCGAGGGACAGGCUCUGGGGAAAGCUAAGCACCGCAAAUAUAAACAAACGCCUACUGUAUCUCAUCCACAGUCUAUAUGAAAAUACACGGAUUCGGGUAAGGUGUGACCGACAGGGCCACCUAUCCAAGGAAAUCCAAAUCCAUCAGGGGGUCAGGCAAGGGUGUGUCCUUGCGCCUACUUUAUUUAACUUCUAUAUCAACUCGCUAGUAGGACAUAUGGAGAAAGAAAAUGCCCAUCCCCCCAAAUUGGCUGGUACGCCCUCCCGGUCCUUUUAUAUGCGGAUGACACAGUUCUAAUUUCUUUUUCUUGUGUUGGAUUAAGAAAACUUUUGAGAUCUUUCACCAAAUACUGCAGCAUCGAACAAUUAACAAUUAAUUACAACAAAUCCAAAGUUAUGGUGUUCUCCAAAAAAAGGAGGAGGCACAAAUGGAGAAUAGACAACCGCUUAAUAGAACAGGUAGCAACCUUUAAAUACCUGGGUGUAACCUUCCAGGAAAGGGGCUCCUGGCGCUUUCAGAUUAAUAAUACUAUUGCAAAUGCAGAAAGAUCUACCAAAGCGUUAAUAAGAUUCUUCUAUGGGAAAGGAGGCCAGUACAUACCGGCAGCCUCCCAGGUCUUUGCUGCCAAAAUACUACCACAAUUGUUAUAUGGAUCCCAGAUCUGCAGUUUUAAAAACCUUACUCUCCUAGAGGCAUUUCAAACUAAGUUUUUCCGCUGCCUGCUGGGGAUCCCCUCUUGCGUAUCCAACAUAGCAGUCCGUUUGGAGGUUGGGCAAAUUCCGAUCAGUACCCGGAUAUGGAUAUUGAAGAUCCAUUACUGGCUAAAGCUUAUUUUCUUCCCGGUUGGGCUGGCACCUUUGACCUUAUUGGAUACCUACCAAUCCAGAUGGAAGGCUACACUGCUGGAAAAGCUUAAAGGCUUGGGGAUCCCACAGCAGACCCUGAUAGCCACAGGCUUCGAGAAAGCUAGGACCACAAUUCGCCAGCGUAUCUGGGAUGUAGAAUUACAACGCCACAUGAGUGAAAUGAUCAAACAUCCUGCAAUAAGGGACUAUGGGAGAGGAUUUCUGCAGCUAACUAUCUGUCAGGUCUCCAGGUACCUAAAUACAGACGGUCUUUUACCCUCGCCAGAUUCAACGUUCUCCCUUCUGCCUUACUUCAGGGCAGAUUUGAGGGUAAACCAUACGCAGCGCGGGUCUGCCCCUGUGGCUCGUUGGAGGUUGAGACUGCUGCACAUGUACUGUUGCGUUGUCGUUUCUAUGAGGACAUACGUUCGACUUUUAUUGCUCCUGUUUUGCGGAAGUCCGGGAAGGAGUCGGAACACCAUGGUUUGGAACCGCUGCUAGAGGACAAGAAUCCUAAGACUACAUUAAAUGUAGCCAAAUUCUGUGCGGCUGCAAUUAGUCGCAGGAAGCAAGUGGUAUCCCAUGGUGACCAAACCCCCAAGUGUUGAUAGCAGGGGCCAUGCUAAUAAUUAAUUUUAACUUUUUAAUUAAUAAUAAUUAAUUUUAAUUUUUUAAUUAAUAAUAAUUAAUUUUAAUUUUUUAAUUAAUAAUAACUAAUUUUAAUUUUUUUUUUAUAUUUAAAUGCUUGUUAUACUUAUAUUGCCCUUUGUAUUUUUUAUAUAUAUUUUUUAUGAUCUGUGAUGUUGUGUGUGUUGGCGCUGGUCUGUGACCGUACUAAUAAAUUCAUUCAUUCAUUCUGGGACUCUCCCUUCCUUUGACUUCACCAUGGCCUGGCUCCUUCUUCUCUUCGCUGUUCUCAGCUUCUGCUCAGGUCUGGUUUUGGGUGGUUAAUGGGAUCAGGUUGGCUUGUGCUGAGAUAAUGGGAAAAAACCCAAACCCAUUUAUCUUGUCUAAUUUACCAUAAAAAACAAUGUUUUCUGAUCCUUAUAAACAUAGAAAAUUUUGUAUUUCUUUUUCCUUUUCUUUUUCCAAAGGUGUCAUUUGACAGACUUAAACUCAGCCAGCCUCGGAGUCUGUGUCCCUGGGCCAAACUAUGAAACUCUCCUGCUCUAGAAGUAGUGGUAGCUGGGAAAGCUUUGGCUGGUAUCAACAGAAACCUGGACAGGCUCCUCGCUUUGUCAUCUAUGGUACCAGCACCCGGGGAGAAGGGAUCCCAGAUCGGUUCACUGGCUCUUCCUCUGGGAACACUUACUAUUUAACCAUCUCCAACACCCAGGCUGAAGAUGAGGCAGUUUAUUACUGUCUUGCUUGGGAAGGCAACAGUAAAACGUUUUACCGUGGUACAACCUGUUUGGAUACUGAGAAAAAACCUUUCCUCUACCUCCUUACAGUGAGAAAACAAGAAGAACCCAAAAAUAUGACUAGUCAUACUUGAGCGGUCUUUGUUUUUGACAGGAAUGUGUGAUGAUAUCAAGUUAUUUAGUCACAUUGAUGCUAUUAAGGAAAUGAUCUCCACCCAUGAAUGGCCUCCACAUUUUUUGACAGGCAGUCUUGGGCAAAGCAAGACUCACCUGUCAUGUGCAGCCUUGCUGGCAUCCCCUAAGGAAAAGGCUGUGGGUGUGGACUGUGUUGUGAAUAAGAUUGUGCCAACAGAUAUCAGCAAAAAGCAAAAUGACCCAAAGAGGGCAGGAUGUGGUUCCUUGAAAACUGGAAAUCAUUUAUCUAAAUUUCAUUUGGAAUGACAUGAAUUCAAAUGUGUACUUUAGAUGAGUUCUGCUGAAAUUAUAGGUUUGAUGAAAAUCCUAGAUUCAAUAAACAACCAUCUGAAAGCUCAGGGGUGGAGGGUGUUGCAGUCUAACAACAUCUGGAUGGAAACAAGAUUCCCUCCAGGAUUCUCUACUUUAUCUUUGUGUUUUGCCAGGAGUAGGGGAGCUCUGUCCUCACCUUUCCAUCCACACCGUCAACCCACCCAUGGGCCAGCUGGGUUAUCAUCUAGUCAGGCCCCUGACAAAGCAGCAUGCAGGUGGGGAACCAUCAUCCCAUCACCAUGGCCUCCUCUGAACCACCUUUGUACAUAUCAGAGCUUUAGACACAAGGGGGAGAUGUUAGUUCUGUUUCUCUACAUUUGACAGAUUUGCACCUGCAGUAAAAAGUUAAACAGAUGAGCAUUUUAUCUGGGUGUUCCUCAUGCAUGAAACUCAAGGGUCUGCACACAACUUGAUCUACCUCAGAAUACACUCAAAUGACGAAUGAGCUAAGCAGUCAUCUUGAAGGGGGCCUGGUUCUGACUUUGUAUUCCUCUCUCAGAUCUGAUCAUUGGUGUUUAAUGGCUUCAGCCCUUCUUUCUCUAUCUGUAGGACAGGACACAAAUCUCAGGCUCAUGGGCAAGGUGUGGCCCUCCAGGCCUGUCUCUCUGGCCCUCAGGACUCUCCUCAAAUUAAGCCCCCUUCCCAGGCUACUACACCCCUAAGAAGCCCUGCUCUGAGCCUUCCCAAAGUGCUUUUCCUGCCAGGAAUAUCUCCUUCGAAUUUUAUGGUGCCCUUUGCUUCCCUUGAUGGAGAACAGAGAGAGGUUUGGAUAGGUCUGGAAGGUGGUGUUACUGUCUUCAUUUUGCUAAACUGGGCUGAUUUUAUGAAAAGGUCUCUCAAAAUCUACACCCAGAUGGAGCUGGCUUUGAGAACACAUGAAACUGGUGUUAAUCCACCUCUCCCUUGUGAGUCAGGGGGUGAACAAGGGAUGCUGUACUGGCCCAUCCCUCUGGCUGCUUUUGCAAUUCUGGGGAGCACUUUUGCUGCAGCGCAAGGAGGAGCCUGGAGAAUGAAGAUAUAUUUGCCUUCAGGUUUUCCUGUGGAACUUCAGGACAUAAAUGAAACACACACAUCCUCCCUCCAGACCAGGGCUGGGGGAAAAGGUAUUCAGCACAAGGGCCACAUUCCCCCUUUUAGGGGCCACCUACAAAUGGUAAGCAUACAGGAGUCAUAAAGGGGGAGGACAGAGCAAUCAAUGUGAGACUCUUAUCAUUGCCCACUAGACCAAUUUGCAUCCAUGCCAAAGUCAGAUGCACAUGUCUCUCCAUCCUCUGCCCACGCAGGCCAGAAACAGAAGCACCAUUCAUGGAUGCAGUCUAGGCAGACCAAAGCAAUGGAGGAGGGCACAGAGCCAUGUCAGUGAGAGGCGUGUCCUUGGGAAAGGGGGCAUGUCCUGGGAAAAGGCCAAGGAUCAGAGGGACUACCAGAAGUUUGGCCCAGAGUCCUGAGGUUCCUCACCCCUGUCGUUCACAAGGCAAAUAAAUUAUGUCCUUGUUUUAAAUCACCCACUUCAGGCAAAAAAAUUUCUGUGGUCAUUUGUCAGACAUUCAUCACAUUUCCGCAUGACGCCUCUAACAAAGCCAAUGUAUGCAGACCUAUUUGCAUGAGAGAUCAUUUCUCAUUUCCAAGGGAUUUAAGAGAGGAGGAGGAGGAGGAAGGUGCAUCUAGAUUGAAGAGCUGUUUGUCUCUGGGACUCUCCUUCCCUUUGACUUCACCAUGGCCGGGCUCCUUCUUCUCUUCGCCCUUCUCAGCUACUGCUCAGGUCUGGUUCUGGGUGGUUAAUGGGAUUAGGUCGGCUUGUGCUGAGAUAAUGGGUCAAGGAACAAACCCAUUUACCUCGUGUAAUUUAUCGUAGAAACACAAGGCUUUUCUGAUCGUUAUAAACACAGAAAAUGAUGCAUAGUUUUUUUUCUUUUUCUUUUUGCAAAGGUGUCAUUUCACAGACUGUAACUCAGCCAGCCUCGGAGUCUGUGUCCCUGGGCCAAACCAUGAAGCUCUCCUGCUCUAGAAGUAGUGGUGGUACCUGGCUCAGCUUUGGCUGGUAUCAACAGAAACCUGGACAGGCUCCUCGCUUUGUGUGGUAUGGCACCAGUGACAGGGGAGAAGGGAUCCCAGAUCGGUUCACUGGUUCAGCCUCUGGGAACAAUGGCUAUUUAACCAUCUCCAACAUCCAAGUUGAAGAUGAGGCAGUUUAUUACUGUGGUGCCUGGGAGGUCACUGGUAGCUGGAAGUAUCACAGUGAUACAAUCUGAUAGGGAACUGAGACAAAAACCUUCACUCUUCCUCCCCAGAGCUAAGAAUGGACUAACAGUCUGGGUCUCAAGUUCAUUGAUUCCAGAGGAACUUUUGAACUAAAGAGCUGAAAAGUUUGGUAAGGCUAUUUGGUUUCAGUCACUUCUCAACCAAGAUGAUCAAGGGCCUGGAAACCAAGCCUUAUGAAGAACAGUUGAAGGAGCUGGGUAUGUUUAGCCUGGAAAAGAUGCUUCUGAAGGGAGAUACGAUAGCCAUCUUCAAAUAUCCCAAAGGCUGUCACAUGGAAGAGGGAUCAGGAUUGUUUUCUCCUGCUCUGGAGGGUAGGACUCUAGAGGUUGUGGACUCUCCUUCCUUGGAGGGUUUUAAGCAGAUGUUGGAUGGUCAUCUGUCAUGGAAGCUUUAGCUGAGAUUCCUGCAUUUCAGGGGGCUGGACUAGAUGACCUUUGGGGGUGUUCCAACUCUACAAUUCUAUGAUUAUCACAGGUCAAUGUUCUUUGUUUGUUUCGGCAGUUGCAUGGUUUCGGCAGUUGCUCCCAGUCCCCAAUCUAGCUGCCGUGUUCUGGAUUAAUUGCAGUUUAUGCGUCUAUAACUUGGAGAGAGUCCUGCAGAGCAACAGAUGUGAGACUCUGAUCAUUGCACGCUAGUCCACUUUCUAUCCAUGCAAAAGUCAGAGAAUUCUGCCUCGCACACGGAUCUCUUGAUCCUUCAUGAAGACAGGCCAGAAACAUGAUUCAAGGAUUCAAGGAUUGAGACUUUUGUGUAAAGGAGAGGGAAUUGGAAAGUGUAGAAUGACAUUUCAAAUGUUUCAUUGGCUCUCCCUGCAAAAAGGUGUGAAUGGAGGCCAAAUAAACAGUUGACUCGGUUCAAUUUUCUUGCAGACUAAUCAGCAUGAAUGUGCAGUAAACAGCAAUCCUGGUCCAGUAUUCUGAUGCUCAUGGAGGAUUCUCUUGAACUUUCCCACAAUCUGCUACUUGAUAUUUUUCUCUUUAACUGGGAUACCAAGGAUUGGACCUUCCUUAUGCAAAUCACCCCCUUUGCCACUAAGCAUGAUGCCUCUGCCCAAGCCAAUGGAUGUGGACCUAUUUGCAUGAGAGAUCAUUUGUCAUUUCCAGGGGAUUUAAGAGAGGAGGAGGAGGAGGAAGGUGCAGCUAGAUUUAGGAGCUGUUUGGGACUCUCCCUUCCUUUGACUUCACCAUGGCUUGGCUCCUUCUUCUCUUCACACUUCUCAGCUACUGCUCAGGUCUGGUUCUGGGUGUUUAAAGGCUUGUGCUGAGAUAACGGGGAGAGCCACAAACCCAUUUAUCUUGUGUAAUUUACCCUACAACGUUUUUCUGAUCUUUAUAGCCGCAGAAAAUGAUGCAUUUUUCUUUUUUCUUUUUGCAAAGGUGUCAUUUCACAGACUUUAACUCAGCCAGCCUCGGAGUCUGUGUCCCUGGGCCAAACUCUGAAACUCUCCUGCUCUAGAAGUAGUGGUAGCUGGUAUAGCUUUGGCUGGUAUCAACAGAAACCUGGCCAGGCUCCUCGCUUUGUGUUGUAUAGUACCAGCACCCGG